rnacentral:rRNA from 1 species
CUCUAAGCCGCUCGCGGCAGUGCUUAACACAUGCAAGUCGAACGAUGAACCGCUUUCGGGCGGGGAUUAGUGGCGAACGGGUGAGUAACACGUGGGCAAUCUGCCCUGCACUCUGGGACAAGCCCUGGAAACGGGGUCUAAUACCGGAUAUGACUGUCCGCCGCAUGGUGGAUGGUGUAAAGCUCCGGCGGUGCAGGAUGAGCCCGCGGCCUAUCAGCUUGUUGGUGAGGUAGUGGCUCACCAAGGCGACGACGGGUAGCCGGCCUGAGAGGGCGACCGGCCACACUGGGACUGAGACACGGCCCAGACUCCUACGGGAGGCAGCAGUGGGGAAUAUUGCACAAUGGGCGAAAGCCUGAUGCAGCGACGCCGCGUGAGGGAUGACGGCCUUCGGGUUGUAAACCUCUUUCAGCAGGGAAGAAGCGAAAGUGACGGUACCUGCAGAAGAAGCGCCGGCUAACUACGUGCCAGCAGCCGCGGUAAUAA